ACGAAGGUGGCAAGCGUUGUUCGGAUUCACUGGGCGUACAGGGAGCGUAGGCGGUUGGGUAAGCCCUCCGUGAAAUCUCCAGGCUUAACCUGGAAAGUGCAGAGGGGACUGCUCAGCUAGAGGAUGGGAGAGGAGCGCGGAAUUCCCGGUGUAGCGGUGAAAUGCGUAGAGAUCGGGAGGAACAUCCGUGGCGAAGGCGGCCAUCUGGAUCAACACUGACGCUGAGGCACGAAAGCGUGGGGAGCAAACAGGA
rnacentral:rRNA from 1 species